rnacentral:rRNA from 1 species
AUUGAACGCUGGCGGCAGGCCUAACACAUGCAAGUCGAGCGCGAGGCGGACGGGGGAGAAAUGUCUCGGAGACUGCCUGAUGUAGGGGGAUAACUACUGGAAACGGUAGCUAAUAACCCAUACCCUAAGAUGUGCCCAGAUGGGGUUAGCUAGUAGGUGGGGGAAAGGCUCACCUAGGCGCCGAUCCCUAGCUGGUCGGAGAGGAUGACCAGCCACACUGGGACUGAGACACGGUCCAGACUCCUACGAGAGGCAGCAGUGGGGAAUAUUGCACAAUGGGCGAAAGCCUGAUGCAGCCAUGCCGCGUGUAUGAAGAAGGCCUUCGGGUUGUAAAGUACUUUCAGCGGGGAGGCGUUACCCGCAGAAGAAGCACCGGCUAACUCCGUGCCAGCAGCCGCGGUAAUAC